UACGAAGGUGGCAAGCGUUGUUCGGAUUUACUGGGCGUACAGGGAGCGUAGGCGGUUGGGUAAGCCCUUCGUGAAAUCUCCGGGCCUAACCCGGAAAGUGCGGAGGGGACUGCUCGGCUAGAGGAUGGGAGAGGAGCGCGGAAUUCCUGGUGUAGCGGUGAAAUGCGCAGAUAUCAGGAAGAACACCCGUGGCGAAGGCGGCUCUCUGGGACGGUACUGACGCUGAGACGCGAAAGCGUGGGGAGCGAACAGG
rnacentral:rRNA from 1 species